AUGCAAGUCGAACGGUAACAGGAGAAGCUUGCUUCUUGCUGACGAGUGGCGCACGGGUGAGUAAUGCAUAGGUAACGUGCCCCUUAGUCUGGGAUAGCCACUGGAAACGGUGAAUAAUACCGGAUACUCCUUCUCACUUAAUGUGAGUCGGGAAAGUUUUUCGCUAAGGGAUCGGCCUAUGUCCUAUCAGGUAGUUGGUGAGGUAAGAGCUCACCAAGCCUAUGACGGGUAGCGGGUCUGAGAGGAUGAUCCGCCACACUGGUACUGAGACACGGACCAGACUCCUACGGGAGGCAGCAGUGGGGAAUAUUGCACAAUGGACGAAAGUCUGAUGCAGCAACGCCGCGUGGAGGAUGACACAUUUCGGUGCGUAAACUCCUUUUAUAUGAGAAGAUAAUGACGGUAUCAUAUGAAUAAGCACCGGCUAACUCCGUGCCAGCAGCCGCGGUAAUACGGAGGGUGCAAGCGUUAUUCGGAAUCACUGGGCGUAAAGGGUGCGUAGGCGGUUUGGAAAGUCAGGUGUGAAAUCCUACAGCUUAACUGUAGAACUGCACUUGAAACUUCCAGACUAGAAUACUGAAGGGGCAGAUGGAAUUAGUGGUGUAGGGGUAAAAUCCGUAGAUAUCACUAGGAAUACCGAAAAGCGAAAGCGAUCUGCUGGGAAGUUAUUUGACGCUGAGGCACGAAAGCGUGGGGAGCA
rnacentral:rRNA from 1 species